rnacentral:rRNA from 1 species
GAUGAACGCUGGCGGCGUGCUUAACACAUGCAAGUCGAACGAUGAAGCCCAGCUUGCUGGGUGGAUUAGUGGCGAACGGGUGAGUAACACGUGAGUAACCUGCCCUUAACUCUGGGAUAAGCCUGGGAAACUGGGUCUAAUACCGGAUAGGAGCGUCCACCGCAUGGUGGGUGUUGGAAAGAUUUAUCGGUUUUGGAUGGACUCGCGGCCUAUCAGCUUGUUGGUGAGGUAAUGGCUCACCAAGGCGACGACGGGUAGCCGGCCUGAGAGGGUGACCGGCCACACUGGGACUGAGACACGGCCCAGACUCCUACGGGAGGCAGCAGUGGGGAAUAUUGCACAAUGGGCGAAAGCCUGAUGCAGCGACGCCGCGUGGGGGAUGACGGCCUUCGGGUUGUAAACCUCUUUCAGUAGGGAAGAAGCGAAAGUGACGGUACCUGCAGAAGAAGCACCGGCUAACUACGUG